GCCUCAUUUGACCUUCAUAUUCCCUCCAAUACACCAAACAGCAAAUAUCAUAAUUCUGUAUAUCAACAUAAUGAAUAACUAUACUAUAAACUUAAUUUGUUGUAUUAACAUUCCGUGGUACUAGCUUGAACUAGUUUAAUUGAACAAAACAUUAAGCCUAGGAAAGGAAAUUUUAACUAAACUUCAACUUUGAAAUCAAUAGCAAUUACAUUAAAACUUCAUGUUGUAUUUACCGCAAUUAGGUAGAUAACCAUAUUAGUAAAUCCACCAGCUAUCUUCACUAAAUCUAAAACGACCAAUAAAAUUUACAUUUUUUAUCCAAGAUGGUAUAUAUUAUAGAUGCCAAAGGACAACAAUUGCGGAUUACCUUAAACUGAAAAUAUGCAUAUUUAACAUUGGAGGAUUUCAACUGAUUUAUUACAAUAACAUUCUAACUUCAAAGAGAAUACAACUCCCAUGAAAUUGGUAGCCUAGUGAACACUUGCCCCUUUUAGAUAUGAUCUAUCCACCAAAGCCUUAGUCCACCACAUGGAGGCCAUCAAUUUCAGCAUAGCAUUAAUAGUGGCAAGAUCCACAAAUGAUUAGCAACACAAACCCCCGAUGACAUCAAGUAAAUACCAUGUUAUUCAUCACACAUGCAGAAGAAUAAAAGAAAACUACAUCAGCUAUAAGUUCAGAAUCAGUGUUUGAUACUGUAAAAUUUUAACUAAAAGAAACAACUUCAAACAAACAAGACCACUAAAGUCAGCACUUCACAUCUUUAAGAGAAAAGCUACAAGUAUUAAUGUACCAACCAAGAUACUUACACUAGAUCAUUUCAACCUUAAACCCACAUGACAAAAGAUUAAUCAGAUCUAUAGCAGUAUAAUCAGUAACUAACAUGAAAUGAAACUCAUUUAUCACAAACAAGUAGACCAUAACUGUAGCUUUUGAUAUUAUAACAAUUAAAACAUAUAAUACAUUAAUAAGGAUGAAAUCAGUACCUUAAAACAGCAAAAACCAAAAGGAAAACAAAGUAAAAUUCUAGCUGGAACUAGAGAGGAAACAAUAGCAAGAAACAGAUCAGCACCACAGGAAAUCAGCCAAGAAACCAAAGAAACAAAAGCUUAUUUGAAUGCCCAGAAUUAGAGUAGAUAGUAUUAGGGUGAAGAAUUAGGAAUCUUUUUUUUUAAAAAAAAACUGAUGUUGAUAGCAAGAAAAUGCACGAACCUUUUCUUUUUUUCUCUUCUAUGUAUUCAGAGGAACUUUUAGGGUGAAUAUGCAAAUGAUAAUCUGUGUCUGAGAACGAGUGAAGGUCUAUCCUUUAUAUGGUAUAUAAAAAAUAGCAUCAAAAAGAAUAUUCUACCAUAAAUUCCCUAAAAGUCAGAUAGUACAGCAUAUUUGAACAGCCGUCUGUCCUUUUUAGCCCAAUUUCAGCAUUUUUCAUGCUAAAAAUGAGGAUAGUUAUACAAUGCUAGAACAUUAUGAUAUUUUACCCAUUUUUAAUUCUAGUUUUACUUUUUAAGUUUUGAUUAUUUCAAUUUAACCAAUCUGACCUAAAUUCUGAUUUCAAAACCUUUGUGGAACCUCCUAGAACAAUCUAGAAGAAUCUAGCAUUGAACUUCCUAAUAUUAUUUUCAAUUGUACCCUCUAAAAGCUUUGGUUAUCAUUUUUAUUUCUGAAAUUAAUUUAAACUUAAAGCAUCCGGAGUUUAAUCCAAAUAGCCUAACUAAUCAGUAAAUUAAAAUGCUUAUCUAAUUAACCCUAAAAAACUGAAUUUAAAGAGACCAUCCUAGUAGAAGCAGUAAUAGAACAUAAGAACCAAAAUAGAAACGAAACUUAAUAAUUAUCUAUAAUUGAUUAAAUUAAACAAACUAUAAAAC
rnacentral:lncRNA from 1 species